AGCUCUGGGGAGCCGCUGGGAGUGGGAAAGAGAGAGAGCGUGUGUAUGAGAGAUUUACAUCCAAAGUCAGAUCAGAGAUUCCCGUUCUGCUGUGGUGACGCGGGAGCUUGUCCCUGUCGGGCAGCAGGGACCCGGCAGAUGAAGCAGGAGUGGCAAGGCGUGAGCCUGUCAUUAGGAGAGAUGAAGAAGCCAGGCUGGAGCCAUAACCUAUCCAAACCAGCAACCGGCAAUUCGCAUAGCAAAACUGAAAACAGAGGCCUAGAGAGAAGAAGCUUUUGCCCAGAUUCCACGACUAGAAGGUUCCUGAACAGGAUCAAGAUCAGAUUGACUGAUUUCAUUUGUAGAAGUGCCGAGCUCUCUGCACCAUCGACCUUUCAGUGAUGUGGGAGGUGCUGAAGACACACAUGGGGUUCCAUCCCGGAGAAGGUUCUGGGAAUAAUGCAAAC